UAACGGCCCACCAAGGCUGAGAUGCCUAGCAGGUGUGAGAGCACGACCUGCGCCACUGGCACUGCGACACUGGCCAGACACCUACGGGUGGCUGCAGUCGAGGAUCUUUGGCAAUGGGCGCAAGCCUGACCAAGCGACGCCUCGUGUGCGAUGAACGCCUUCGGGUUGUAAAGCACUGUCGAGGGGGAGGAAGCCGCAGGUUGUCCUAUCCCUGGAGGAAGGACGGGCUAAGUUCCUGCCAGCCGCCGCGGUAAGACCAACCGUCCUAACGUUGUUCGGAAUCACUGGGCUUAAAGGGCGCGUAGGCGGGUCGCCAAGUCCGGGGUGAAAUCUUUCGGCUUAACCGGAAAAAUAGCCUUGGAUACUGGUGAUCUCGAGGGAGGUAGGACCUGUGCAACUUUCUGGUGGAGCGGUGAAAUG
rnacentral:rRNA from 1 species